rnacentral:lncRNA from 1 species
GAAGAAAUAGUGAUCAGUUGCUGAACUUUGCCUUCAGCGACACUGCAAUAUCAUUCAUGGUACACAGCAGACACACAAUAAAUAAUUAUGAAUGAUUACUUCCCAAGAACCUCUCCUGUACCCAAGAAUCUAAUCCCCUCACUCAUUUAUUCAUUAACUCAUUCGCCCAUCUGGGAAUCCUAGCCAUUCCCAAGUACAUCAUACCAUCGAAAUUGCAUUCCAAUAUGAAUACCUCAUGGAAGCAUUUCUCUCCCUGCAGGGGAGGUGGCAUCAGUUCACCCUCUUACACAACAGCUACUUUCAAUAAGUGCAAUUAUUUUGAGGCUCCUUUUGUCAAGGAUACUCACAUAAAAAAAGUCCUACCUCUCUCCUGGGAAGAUGUGAGCUGUGAAGGCCGAAACCAGCUGCUGCUUCUCCCCAUACUGCCAGCCUUGGUGAGCCCAGAAGGAGUCAAGCCUGAGGGAAAUGAGAGAAAGAGAUGAUUAGAUCAUUACCAAGAGCUGCUGUGUACCACUUACAGGCAGCAUUCAUAAGCACAAUGCCAAGCAUAUUGUAUGGAUUUCAGUGUUGCUGAAUAUAAAAAUGAAUCAACUAUUUUGAGCAGCUAUGAAUUCAGACACAAGGAGACAAAAUAAGCAACACAAUAAGGGAAAUUUAGACAGAAUUAGACACACAGGGAAAUAAGAGUAAAACAGAGUAAAGAGAGGAUCCAUCUACAGGGAAUGUUGAUUUGCCUUGGCACCAUACCUCUGUUUAGAUCUACCUGAGGUAAACAGGACGGAUAGCUCUUAAA